CUAGCUUGCUAGGCGGAUUAGUGGCGCACGGGUGAGUAACGCAUAGAUGACAUGCCCUUUAGUUUGGGAUAGCCACUAGAAAUGGUGAUUAAUACCAAAUACCACCCUAUGGGGGAAAGAUUCAUCGCUAAAGGAUUGGUCUAUGUCCUAUCAGCUUGUUGGCGGGGUAAGAGCCCACCAAGGCAAUGACGGGUAUCCGGCCUGAGAGGGUGAACGGACACACUGGAACUGAGACACGGUCCAGAC
rnacentral:rRNA from 1 species